UAUUAUCUUCCACUAAUCCUUGGGAGAACCUCUUUUCCCCCUCUCUAUAUGACAAUUAUUGUCCAUCUACCUGUAAUUCUUGUCAUUACUAGGCUACCAUUAUUAUUUAAUUUAACAAGACACCAUUUUAUUUCACUCACUAUAUUACCAAUCACCAAGUUAGGCACUUCUUAUUUUAACCCCCUCCUUAUUUUUUACUUUUCUAUAAUUGUAUUACCUUAUUCACUUCAUUUUCCAGAUGGAAAUCUCCCCCACCGUGAUUCCUAAUAUUUUCACAUUUCCUGGGGCUACUCCCAGUGUUAUGCCCUUUCCUAGUGCUAGUUCCAUCUCUAAGGUCUGGGGAUCGCCGCCUCAGGUUCCGGUGCUGAUCGAUUUUCGGCCUGCCACUAAUAUCCAGAUCCAUGACCAGACUCCACUAUGACCUGCAAACAUAUCCUGUGCAUCUGCUCCUGAAGAGUAGCGCUACAGCUACGAAACGCGUCGAGCUAAAUAGAUGCUUUUCCCUGCCAAUUUUUCAUCUUCAUCACCAUUACCAUGGUUUACUGGAACCUGCCAAUCUACAAUGCAUAAUGGAAAUAUGUUGCAAACUAGUCUGAUGUGGUUUUUAUGUUAUGAUUGUGGCUCUAGGCCAGCAGGCCAUCUUUGUGUCAUCAUGCUAUUCUGUUCUUUAUUAUGUACCAUGUUAUGGAAUAAAUGGUUUUAUUACCUUA